rnacentral:rRNA from 1 species
GGAUUAGAUACCCUGGUAGUCCACGCCCUAAACGAUGUCUACUUGCUGUUGGGGGUAACCUUAGUAGCGAAGCUAACGCGAGAAGUAGACCGCCUGGGGAGUACGGUCGCAAGAUUAAAACUCAAAGGAAUUGACGGGGACCCGCACAAGCGGUGGAUGAUGUGGAUUAAUUCGAUGCAACGCGAAAAACCUUACCUGCUCUUGACAUGUACGGAAGACUUCAGAGAUGAGGUUGUGCCUUCGGGAACCGUAACACAGGUGCUGCAUGGCUGUCGUCAGCUCGUGCUG